rnacentral:tRNA from 1 species
UGGCUCAGCGGUAGAGCGCUUGCCUUGCAUGCAUGUGGCCCUGGGUUCGAUUCCUCAG